rnacentral:rRNA from 1 species
UACGGGGGGUGCAAGCGUUGUUCGGAAUUACUGGGCGUAAAGGGCUCGUAGGCGGCCAACUAAGUCAGACGUGAAAUCCCCAGGCUUAACCUGGGAACUGCGUCUGAUACUGGAUGGCUUGAAUUCGGGAGAGGGAUGCAGAAUUCCAGGUGUAGCGGUGAAAUGCGUAGAUAUCUGGAGGAAUACCGGUGGCGAAGGCGGCAUCCUGGACCGACAUUGACGCUGAUGAGCGAAAGCUAGGGGAGCAAACGGG